AAUGGAACCUGAGCUAGGCUGAGAGAAAUCUUCUCGUAUGACGAGUAGAGAAAAAUUCGAGUUUUUCUUGAAAAAAAUAUCAAACAAAAAUUUUAUUUUCCUCUGAACAAAACAUAAUUCUGGCAAGAUGGAUGAUAUGGGAGGAGAGGAGGAUAUGGGAACUGAUUGUCAGUCGUCUGGAACUUGUGGAGGCGCAGUACCAACCAUUCCCCCAAUCAAGAUUGUUUCUGGCGUUCCCACAGUUUUACAACAAAGUGUCCUAGCCGCACAACAGUUUGGGGU